GUGAAAGGUGUGUCUCAGUAUAGGACUGAGGUGUAGAUUGUUCUGUAAAAACGUGUAGAUAUGCACAUAUAGUGACUAUUAGAGUGGUUAUGGAUUUAAAUCAACUAUUUUGAAUGUGAAGUGGAGGACGUGAAGACCAGUAAAGUUAAAAUGGCAGAGUCCAGAGUUCAUAAUCAGUUUAAACUCACCUCAGAAGACAAUGUGUGGGCUUAUAGUGGUGUAGAGGUCACCCUCCCCUGUCACCUCUCACCUGACACCAGUGCUGUUGCCACGACGAUCAGGUGGUUUAAGGAGACAGAGUGUAUUUACCUGUAUAAGAAUGGCCAGGUGACCGAGAGGAGUGACUAUGAGGGCAGAGUGAGUCUGAUCACCCAGGAGCUGGAGAGAGGCAACGUGUCUCUGACGCUGAGACACUUCGGGAGGUCAGAUAGAGGAGUCUACAUCUGUCAGGUCAUCCAUGGAGAACAGAAGGUGGAGGCUGCAGUGGGUUUAAGGGACAGAGGAGGUAAGUGUUCUAGAACUCCAGUAAUGUUUCUAAACACCUAAACAACAACAAUAACAACCAGUCUCUUUCCCUGUACAGAACACUUGUACUUUCUCAUGUAGGUAGGAGUUCAUAGUAGGAG